rnacentral:tmRNA from 1 species
GGGGGUGCCAAGGUUUCGACGGGGAUUGGAAGCGCUGGUUGCAUGCCGGAGUGGGCUGGCUCCGUAACAAAGCCCAACACAUACAAACGCCGAUACUGACGUUCGUUACGCAUUAGCAGCUUAAUUGCUGUUACGUCUCUUGUUUCAUCGCCCAUGUGGUGCAGAAGACGUUAAUUAUAGUGGGAUAGCCUUUGUGAGUGUCCGUGGCACUUAGGCGAAACUUAAGCGGGCUCCCCCUCAAAAAAUCCUGUUCGUGGGAGUUAAUGAGGGUUAAGUAAAACACGAACUACGCAUGUAGACGCUUGACGUGAAAGAUUUUCGGACGCGGGUUCGAUUCCCGCCACCUCCACCA